GACGAACCUUGCUAACGUUAUUCGGAAUUACUGGGCUUAAAGGGUGCGUAGGCUGUGCGGAAAGUUGGGUGUGAAAGCCCUCGGCUCAACCGAGGAAUUGCGCCCAAAACUGCUGCACUAGAGGAAGACAGAGGUACGCGGAACUUAGGGUGGAGCGGUGAAAUGCGUUGAUAUCCUAAGGAACACCGGUGGCGAAAGCGGCGUACUGGGUCUUAUCUGACGCUGAGGCACGAAAGCUAGGGGAGCGAACGGG
rnacentral:rRNA from 1 species